rnacentral:tRNA from 1 species
GGGGUUGUGGCUCAGUGGUAGAGCGCUUGCCUAGCAUGCAUGAGGCACCAGGUUCAAUCCCUGGCACCACA